GACAGGACACACAUAAGCCAGCUGUGUAAUCAACAGGAAGUGCUGUUCCUCCCAAGGCCAUGCAGCAACUGUAAAGUGCCACUCUCUUCUUGAGUGAUCAUUGCUUUGUCACCAAUGACCCUCACAGCCCUACAUCACUAUAAUUCCUCCAUUACUGAGCGUAUCAAGUUGUGAAACGUUCCUUGCAUCAUGACCAUACGUCAUCCCUAGUUAAUCUUCACUAACUUGCUGAGAAACAGCAAGGGAUUUAGAACUGAUUCACCCUGGCUUCCACUGGACUCUCCUCAGAACCUUACAGUGAGAACACAAACUUUGUAAAAGACACUUCCUCUUGUCAAGCAAUCAGGCAAGAACAGAGGACACUCAGGCUGAUUAGCAGAGUCUUUUUUUUUCUUUUUUCCUUUUUUUCCUUUUUUUCCCCCUCUCAAACCACAAUGGCCAGAUCAGAGCCCUCUGAUAAUUUAUGCUUCUACCUUAGGAUCCGGUUUCAUUCUACAACUGGCUGAAGCAUGAAAUGAACUAAAAUAAACUGAACUGAAUGGAACUGAACUACACUGAAAUAAUUCAAUUCCCAGUACACUUGAUGCCUUAAGGACAGAGAAGCUACUUCACUCACCUUCCUCCCCGAGGUCUCUGCACAAUGACCAACCCAUUCAAGACUCUGAGUGUGUGACCAUUGGAUUUUACUACCAGCAAUCUGUUCCUCUCUGUGUCAUUUACCCUGGUUUUACCAGGGCUGAAAACACCCUGAAUUGCAUUAAAGAGAACAGUAAACCAGUUGCCAAAGCACUAA